rfam:Colletotrichum gloeosporioides Cg-14 contig02934, whole genome shotgun sequence.
CUAUUCUUAAUGAUACAUUAAGGAGAAGGCAAAGGGAGAGGAGAAACCGGAGGAAGAACUUAUGGGGAAACGUAAGUCUUCUCCGCGG